rnacentral:rRNA from 1 species
CUGAGUUGAAACCGGCGUAAGCCAGGUUGGUUUCUAUCUUUAAUAAAUUAUAAUAUUUUAGUACGAAAGGACCAAAUAUUAAAUAUAUUUAUAUUUAAUUUUUUGAAUAUU